rnacentral:lncRNA from 1 species
AGUGCACAAGCAAGCUCUUCCCUGUCUAAGAACAAGUAUUUAUCCUGAGUUUGCUGGCCACGUGGCAACAUCUACCCAGGCAGAGUUGAUGGUGUGACGACUCCCCAACUGUGCAGUAUGAAGGAAGUCAGUAAGUCAUUAGCUGACAGUAGUCUUGGCAAGUAUUAGUGCCCCUUGCUUAAGACAGCUUUUACCCUGCUUGCUGGAAAGUUGCCUCACCCCACUGAACAGGCCACAGGUAGACAUUAUGCUGCCACCUGUCAGAAGAUUGCCAUUAUGAAAACUGCAGUCUAGAACAACUUCAUGCAACUUCAGUGUGAAGACCAGUCUCUAGCCGUGUCUUCAACAAGCAGAGAGGGAGUCCCUGAAGAAUGAUGCUGUUUAUUUGGGAAUAAGCCAGAGACAUCAUCAUGUGGAAUACACCUGCCACUGUAGCUCUAUUCGAAGUCAGAGCAAAGGAGAGUUGAUCUGUGUUCACAUUUUUAUACCAAGUGAGCAGAACAACUGUAUGCUUUCUUACAGCCAGUGAUGGCACAUCUGGCAAAACUGGGAAAACUGGCAAGAGCGCGUAUGUCCAGGCCCUCGGGCACCUCAGUCAAGCUGAGGAGACAUUGAUCCAAAUAAUCCUCUGAGCAUGUACACA